GUUUAGGGGUAAACCUGAGAAGCCCGAAAGGUCGAAGGGAGAAAUUCAUCGCGUAUCGAGGCAGGCGUCGGGCGGUCGAGCGACGGGAAAACGUUCGCGUUUUUCCGCGCCUUCCGCUCGUCGAACCGGCCGCGAACGCGUGCACUUUUCUCCCGGUAGGACGUCGCGAUCCGUCGGGUGUCGGUCUACGGCUCGCGGUGGAGCCCGUCCGUCGUUUUCACGAACGUGUACGGACGGACCCGCGGGACCCGGCCGACUCGCUCGACGGUAUACAAAAGGUUUAGGGCCGCUCGUUUCCACGGAGCGUUCGACUCGCGGCAAGCGCGUCGGUUGCGUCGGAGAUCGGACCCGGUGCCGAUCCUGACCUCCGGCGACUGUUGGCCGCGAAGUUCUCGAACAGACCCUCGGACCGAUCGGCGACGCUAUAGCUUUGGGUACUUUCAGGACCCGUCUUGAAACACGGACCAAGGAGUCUAGCAUGUGCGCGAGUCAUUGGGAUUCGCACUAAACCUAAAGGCGCAAUGAAAGUGAAGGUCUUCCUUACGCGAAGACCGAGGGAAGACGGGCGGUUUACCCUUAAAAGUGGCCGCUCCGCAUUCCCGGGGCGUCUCGUUCUCAUCGCGAGAAGAGGCGCACCAAGAGCGUACACGCUGGGACCCGAAAGAUGGUGAACUAUGCCUGGUCAGGACGAAGUCAGGGGAAACCCUGAUGGAGGUCCGUAGCGAUUCUGACGUGCAAAUCGAUCGUCGGAACUGGGUAUAGGGGCGAAAGACUAAUCGAACCAUC
rnacentral:rRNA from 1 species